GGAUAUUUGCAGAAGAAGCGCCGGCUAACUACGUGCCAGCAGCCGCGGUAAUACGUAGGGCGCAAGCGUUAUCCGGAAUUAUUGGGCGUAAAGAGCUCGUAGGCGGUUUGUCGCGUCUGCUGUGAAAGCCCGGGGCUCAACCCCGGGUCUGCAGUGGGUACGGGCAGACUAGAGUGCAGUAGGGGAGACUGGAAUUCCUGGUGUAGCGGUGAAAUGCGCAGAUAUCAGGAGGAACACCGAUGGCGAAGGCAGGUCUCUGGGCUGUAACUGACGCUGAGGAGCGAAAGCAUGGGGAGCGAACAGGAUUAGAUACCCUGGUAGUCCAUGCCGUAAACGUUGGGCACUAGGUGUGGGGGACAUUCCACGUUUUCCGCGCCGUAGCUAACGCAUUAAGUGCCCCGCCUGGGGAGUACGGCCGCAAGGCUAAAACUCAAAGGAAUUGACGGGGGCCCGCACAAGCGGCGGAGCAUGCGGAUUAAUUCGAUGCAACGCGAAGAACCUUACCAAGGCUUGACAUGAACCGGAAAGGCCUGGAAACAGGUCCCCCACUUGUGGCCGGUUUACAGGUGGUGCAUGGUUGUCGUCAGCUCGUGUCGUGAGAUGUUGGGUUAAGUCCCGCAACGAGCGCAACCCUCGUUCUAUGUUGCCAGCGGGUUAUGCCGGGGACUCAUAGGAGACUGCCGGGGUCAACUCGGAGGAAGGUGGGGACGACGUCAAAUCAUCAUGCCCCUUAUGUCUUGGGCUUCACGCAUGCUACAAUGGCCGGUACAAAGGGUUGCGAUACUGUGAGGUGGAGCUAAUCCCAAAAAGCCGGUCUCAGUUCGGAUUGAGGUCUGCAACUCGACCUCAUGAAGUUGGAGUCGCUAGUAAUCGCAGAUCAGCAACGCUGCGGUGAAUACGUUCCCGGGCCUUGUACACACCGCCCGUCAAG
rnacentral:rRNA from 1 species